rnacentral:rRNA from 1 species
GCAUGCCUACAUCAUAGUGUUAAUGCACCAGAUCCCAUUAGAAAUCCACAGUAAAGUGUGCUCGAGAUAGAGUAUUACUGGGAUGGGUGACCGCCCAGGAAGUCCUAGUGUUUUACAUGCC